rnacentral:rRNA from 1 species
GAUGAACGCUAGCGGCAGGCUUAACACAUGCCAGUCGAGGGGCAGCGCGGGAUAGCAAUAUCCUGGCGGCGACCGGCGGAAGGGUGCGUAACGCGUGAGCGACAUGCCCGUUGCCCGGGGACAACCGGUGGAAACGCCGACUAAUCCCCGAUGGGAUAUUGUGCCGCAUGGCACGAUAUUGAAAGUUACGGCGGCGACGGAUUGGCUCGCGUCCGAUUAGCUGGUUGGCGGGGUAACGGCCCACCAAGGCUGCGAUCGGUAGGGGUUCUGAGAGGAAGGCCCCCCCCAAUGGGACUGAGACACGGCCCAUACUCCGACGGGAGGCAGCAGUGAGGAAUAUUGGUCAAUGGGCGGAAGCCUGAACCAGCCAGGCCGCGUGCGGGAAGGAGGCCCUAUGGGCUGUGAACCGCUUUUGCCUGGGGGCAAUAAGGGCGUCGCGCACGUCCGAUGAGAGUACCAGGCGAAUAAGCAUCGGCUAACUCCGUG